AGCAGUAGCCGCGGUAAUACGUAGGUCCCGAGCGUUGUCCGGAUUUAUUGGGCGUAAAGCGAGCGCAGGCGGUUAGAUAAGUCUGAAGUUAAAGGCUGUGGCUUAACCAUAGUACGCUUUGGAAACUGUUUAACUUGAGUGCAAGAGGGGAGAGUGGAAUUCCAUGUGUAGCGGUGAAAUGCGUAGAUAUAUGGAGGAACACCGGUGGCGAAAGCGGCUCUCUGGCUUGUAACUGACGCUGAGGCUCGAAAGCGUGGGGAGCAAACAGGAUUAGAUACCCGCGUAGUCCCUGUCUCUUAUACC
rnacentral:rRNA from 1 species